UCAAUAGGAUUGACUUUCCUUCAGUAUUAGAAACAAAACCUUAAAAAUAAACAUUUUGAUGAAACAACAACUGUAAGUCUCUCUGUGAGAAGGGAAGCAAUCGAAAGAAAAUCUAAGAGGAAAUCAGGUGCAAAUAAAUGAAAGUAAAUUCAUUCCCACUAACAAGGGAUAAGUUUUGGUGUAACGUCAGGUGUUUAUCAGAGGACACAGACGGAACAACACGGGGCCCUGGCCCCCUUCAAGCCCUCCCUCCCAGCACGUACACUUUCACUUUCUUUGUCUUAAAUCAUCUCCCUCCUCUCUCUCUCUCUCUCUCUCUCUGUCCAAACGGACUUAACUAUGGUUCAAUUGAAUUAACCUCAUCAAACAUCACAUCUUCUCUCUCUCUCCUUCCUCAUGCUUUUGGCUAAUCUUGUUACUUUAGUCCCACCGCCGGCUCCGCACAGUCGCCAAUAAUACUACUCUCUUCUGCAUCAUCCCUCAAGUUCCCAUUUCAAAAGAUAAUAUUUUGAUUAGUGAGUAUUUCUCUUAUUUUCCUCUUUCUUUGUCUUUCUCUCUCAAACUUGAAAUAUAAUUAAUUAAGGGGAAGGAAAGAAAAAAAAAAUAAAAUAAAAGGGUCCGUCGGUGUUGUUUGAUUGACCUUGAAUCUAUCUGGGAAAGAGGUAAAUUGUUGUUUGAUUUUUUGUUAAAGUUCAGUUUGAACUCUUUUUGUUCUUGAAUUUUCUAUUUUUGUUCUAGCUUUUUGCUAUUUUCUUCUUCUUUUUCUCUUUUUAUGUUUACUGGAUCUCUCCGACUUGGAAUCUUUUAGGUCUGGAUCCUGGUUUCUCGUUUGGGUUUACUGUUAGAUGUGGGUUAUAGGAUUAGACCAAGAAUUUUUGUGUUCUUUUUUAGAUCCAAGCUACUUGACCUCUAUGUUAUUACCUGAACAAUUUCUUUUCUAGGAAAGUUGAAAACUUUCCCGGGAGGUACUUACAUUCUGUCAUAAACGGUGAGAUCUGGGUGUUUCACUUGAUUAUCUGUUGGAUGAUAAGAUUCAUUUGAUUUAUAAUCUAGUCAUGGGCUUUAAUAUCAAAAUUGGCUUUAAUAUCAAAAUUGGUUACUUUAAUCUCCUGCUAGUAAAUCUAUUCAUAUCUUUCAAUAGAAAAUAAUUCAAGAUUAAUUUUUUUUAUGAAUUGGGAAUAUAAAAUUUUCUGUUAUGGAAUUGAUGUUUCAUCAAAGUUUUUUAGUGGAAUUAACUUGUCUCAAUCAAAAUUUGCUGAAAUGAUUGAUAUUUGAGAUUUUGUGCAUAAAUAUUCUGUAGUAAAUAAGAAAAUCUGAAAUGGAAUUUCUAUUGAAUUAUUAUACACAGGAAAGCAUUUAGUUUUUUGCUGGGUUUUAGUAUGUAUUAACUUUUGCUGUUCUUAGCAGGCUUAAAAAUACCGACAGAGUAAGAUAGAUAGGGUUUAAAGCCAUUAGAGAUCCCUACAAAUUCAAGAUGAUGAUGUUCGAUGAGAUGGGAUUUCUUGGUGAUAUGGAUUUCUUCUCUGCGCCUUUUGGAGAAGAUGUGGCUGGUCCGGAAACUGAGCCGGAGCCUACUGUGGAGGAUGAUUAUAGUGAUGAGGAGAUUUAUAUUGAUGAGCUUGAGCGCAGGAUGUGGAGGGACAAGAUGCGUCUUAAAUGGCUGAAAGAGCAGAUCAAGAGUAAAGAAGGUAUUGAUAUUGCUAAGCAGAGGCAGUCACAGGAACAAGCUAGGAGGAAGAAGAUGUCAAGGGCUCAAGAUGGGAUCUUAAAAUAUAUGUUGAAGAUGAUGGAAGUUUGUAAAGCUCAAGGCUUUGUUUAUGGGAUUAUUCCUGAGAAAGGAAAGCCAGUGACUGGGGCAUCAGAUAAUCUUCGAGAGUGGUGGAAGGAUAAAGUAAGGUUUGAUCGAAAUGGUCCGGCUGCCAUUGCCAAGUAUCAAGCGGAUAAUUCGAUCCCAGGCAAGAAUGAGGAUUGUAAUUCAAUUGGUCCAACUCCACAUACCUUGCAGGAGCUUCAAGAUACUACUUUGGGUUCGCUUUUGUCAGCUUUGAUGCAGCACUGUGAUCCUCCUCAGAGGCGGUUUCCAUUGGAGAAAGGUGUUCCUCCACCAUGGUGGCCCAAUGGAAAUGAAGAGUGGUGGCCUCAAUUAGGCUUACCUAAGGACCAGGGUCCUCCACCUUAUAAGAAGCCUCAUGACUUGAAAAAGGCAUGGAAGGUUGGGGUUCUUACUGCAGUGAUCAAACAUAUGUCUCCAGACAUUGCCAAAAUUCGCAAGCUUGUGAGACAGUCAAAGUGUUUACAGGACAAAAUGACAGCUAAGGAGAGUGCAACUUGGCUUGCAAUUAUUAACCAAGAGGAGGCAUUGGCCCGAGAGCUUUACCCUGAUUCAUGCCCACCCUUGUCAUCGACUGGAGGGAGUGGUUCAUUAGUGAUUCAUGAUUGCAGUGAAUAUGAUGUUGAAGGGGUUGAAAAUGAGGGAGGUAAAAAUACGUGGAGGGACAAGAUGCGUCUUAAAAGGCUGAAAGAGCAGAACAAGAGAAAAGAAGGUAUUGAGAUUGCUAAGCAGAGGCAGUCACAGGAAGAAGCUAGGAGGAAGAAGAUGUCAAGGGCUCAAGAUGGGAUCUUCUUUUUACUUAGUAAAUUAUAGAGGAGAAUUUUAUUAGCAAUUGAAAGAAGAGUAACCAGAAAAUGGAAAUUGCAUCUUUUUUUUCGUGGCAUUUUAUCAUUGCAUUGUUGAAUAUUUUCUCCAGUCACAGAGUUCCCUUUCCAUGGAGUUUAAAAGAUUGGCUUACUGUAGAUACUAUAGAUCUUUAUUUAUGUCUAGGUAAAAUACAUCUGUGACUCUAAAUUAUGUCAUAAUUAACACUUUUGUCCCUCUACUGAUUAGAGAAAUGAAAAUGUUAAUCAGGGCAUAAUUAAGGACCCACAUGUAUUCUACCCUAGUUCAAUGAUUAAAAGGUUAUUGUAGUCUUUUUAUUUUCAAUUGCUGGUGAAAGUUCACUUUUUUGGAAGGAAUAACUUAUCAAUUAGAAAGACUAUUAGGGUGAAAUUUAAAAUAUAUGCAAGGAAAUAUGCUUAACCAAAAAAAAAAAAAAAUUAUAUAUAUAUAUAUAUAUAUAUAUAUAUAUAUAUAUAUAUGAAAAGAGAUGAAGGUCAAAUUUGUCUUGCCAUAUUUUAUUUUAUAUACCAAAUGCUGAAAAAUAAUUUUCUUUAAAAAAGUACUUUUUGAGAAGUAUACUUCGGGAUAAAUAAUAAUUUUUCUUUAUUUUAUUUUUAGAUAAUGUUAAAGAUGAAAAACGAACUUUGAGGAGUGUCUUGAUGUGGUCAUUUGGGGAAACGCACUGGAGAGUUGAUGACGGGCUAAAGUGGGCCUGAAACCGGACCAGGUUCAGUUGGCUGUUUCCAACUAUGAAAUAGACAAUAAUAGCCUCAAGACAAGGCUUACUGUUUACGUGCUUUGGUAACAUGCACAUGUUUGGUUUUCUACAGAACAAAUCCCUUUUUCAGAAAAAUUAAUUAUUUUAUUCAUUAAUUAUUUUACUGGCUGUUAAUUAUUUCAGUUGGUUGUUUUGUCAAACCUUAUAAGCAAUAACAUCUAAAAAUUAUUAUCUCAGUUUUAUGAUAUUUGUUAUAUUGGAGAAAUAAUUUAUUCUAAAAUAUUUGUUAUAUUUGUGAUUUUAAGAGUAAUAAAUUUUUUUUUUUUUCAUGUCUACCAUUUGUAUAGGUCUAACUAUCAUAACUUCAAUUUAAUAAUUUUUUUUAAAAAAAAUUAGUAUUUAACGUCUGAUUUAUCAAUAAACAGAUUUUGUUGGUAGUUACCUACAAAUUAGAAAUUUUUAUUGAUAAAAUUUAUUUUUAAAAUUAAAAAAGAUCAUAUAAUUUUAACGAUCGAUUAUCGACAGAAUAGAUUACCAACAGAGUUUACCAAUAAAUUUAAAUUUUAUUGGCAAAAAGUGUGUUAUAAAUUUGCGCGUAGGUUGAUAAUUUAUUAACAAAUUACAAAUAGAUUUUUAUAAAAAUUUUAAAUUUCAAGAGUCAUAAAUGGGCGGGUAAAUGAUGAAAUUUGGCAACACUAAAAUAUAUAAAUUUAUUUAUGAACUUUUUCGAAAAAAAAAAAAAGUGUGGAUAUAAAUUUCAGGUGUCAUAAAUUGCUCCAAAUAAGGCAAGUCACUAAUUCUAACAGACUUGAUGACAUCUGCCUAACAAAGUAGGAUAUUUAUCGUUUGAUUAUUUAAGCAACUAACGGAAGUCAGUUGUUUUAGCAGACUUGCCUUAGUUGGAACUACUAAAGGUUACGGAGAAGGUCAUAGUUUCAACUGAGACAAGUAAAAACACGUUAUUAAAGAAAACGGCGUCAUUUCUUUCUAGUAAUUCCAACUCAUGUCCCUCUUCACUUCCUACGUUUAGCUCAUAAAUGUCAUUACUUGAUUUCCAAUUUGAAUUUAAGCUCAACUCAUUUACGAUUAGCGAGCCAAGUUCCAUUUUUAAAUGAAUCAAACUCGAAAUCAAGUAUAUCAUAAUCGAAUGGAGCUUAAAUUCAUCAAAACUCGACUUUUCGAUCAGUUCAGCUUGAUUUGACUUAUUUACAACCCUAUCUAAUCUCAUUCUGUUUCGAGGACUAUGAUAUAUAUCAUGCUCCUCUUCCUUUAUCAACGUGCUAGUCCAAACCAAGUUUGCUUCGUACUACUAAGAACUUAUGGAGAAUAACAAUUACUCAUAAAUAAAUAUUGCACUUAAAUAAACAAAUGCUAAAGCAUUUCUCAUUCUUUAUAAAUAGGUAAGACUUAAAGAACGAUUGUAUUAACAAUUUUACAUUUUUUUUUUUGUAUAAAUGACAAAACAAAAUUUUGAUAGAAAAAUUUAAAAGAUAUUAUUUUUCUUAGGAAUUUAGUAAUUUUUUUAACUUGAUAUAAUUAUUGGGUAUAUUUAAAAAAUAUAUAUAUAUUAUUUAAGGCCACAAAAAGGAGGUUAAACUAAUUUUGGUUUAAGGCAAUGAAAUAUCAAUUAAUUUUGGUUCGAUUUCGAACUAAACCAAGCUGCAAGAACCAAAAAUCGAAAAUACAUUUUACUUGAAAUCGAACCGAACCAAAAUGGUCAAUCCGGUUUGAUAGGUAUGAAUUCAGUUAAACGAUUUGGUUUUACACAUUAAAUAAACGUUUGGUAUAACCAAUCCAAAUACAGAAAAUUGAAAUUAUGAAAAAAUUUUAAACAUAAGCCUAGACCAAAAACUGAAUAAUUGAACUAAAAAUAAAAAAUAAUUUGGUUCGAUUCGAGUUUUGAUUUUUCCUAAAAUCUGCUCACCCCAGUCAAUUAGAUUCCUAACCCAUCACCAGAUGUCCAUUUUAAUUUCGUGCGUAGUGCUUGGCUUACGCUGGCAGCUGUACAAUUGACCAAAUACAAUUUAUCUUGAAACUUUUAAGGAUUAUUUUAUUUUAAUUUCAUGCAAUUGGUAAUUAGUUUUGCCGCAAUGAAAUGCUGCACGUGCUUAAAAAAAAAAAAGUAAAAAAGGUCUUUGACUUGAUAAACACAAAGCAUUUGAUGUCACAUCCCCAAGUCCGUGGAUAAUACAGUUACUAUUAAACCCACGAAAUGUUCCACAAAUAAAAUAUAAAUUGGAAAACCAAGUUAAUAUUUUAGUAGAUAUCCCUAAUAAUUUUUAUAUUUUUUAACUAUUUAACAAGUGUUGAAUUGAUUUAAUUUUAUCAAUUAAAAUAUUCGUUGCAUUAAGUUGAAAUAUUUAUUAAGUGUAAUUUGUUAAAUUAAAGUGCUUAAUAAAAUAAAAUUUAAAAGUGUUACAGGAGAUUUUAUAAAAAAUGCAUAUAUAAAUUUAUUAUUUCGCUCUAAAAAUAUAAAAAUAAAUUAGAUAUAUUAUUAUUGAAAAUAUUUUAUCGGAAUAUCAUUUUUAAUCUGAUCGUAAAAUUACGUUUGUGAAAUAAAAACCACAUUUAUAGCAAAUUAAGUUGAAUUAUACUGAUUUGACAAAAAUAUUUUUCAAUACAAUCAUAAAUAUUAUUAAUUUUAUAGUGUUCAUUUUUAUUUUAGAAAAAAAAAAAAAACAUUGAGGUUUCUCUAGUUGAUGAAAUAUCCAUCUACGGAUAGUUCCACCUCUAAAUAUGGCAUGGGUACCUAAAAAUUUAAGAUUUUUAUAAUUUCUCACCCUUUUUAUUUAUAUUUAAUUGAUUUAUGCAAAUCAAAUCACCAAAAUUCUUACAUGAUAUGAUCUUUUUGAAUUAAAAUGUGUCAUAACUUACAAAAUAAUAUAUAUAUAUAAACAACUUAUAAAAUAUAUAAGGCUUGUUUUGGCAAUACUAGCUCUUUUAGUAAGAAUUUAUUCGGCAAUAUUAGUUAUUUUAUAAGCUCUUUAAACUAGUAGUUGUUUAUAUAAUAAUUUAAAUUAAAAAUGCUCGAUAAAAAUAAUUGUUUUGUUUAAAAAAUUAGGAUUACAAUUAUUAAAAAAAUUAUCUGAAUACCACUUUCAUUCUGAAUAUAUAUAUAAAUAAACCACAAAAAUUAGUGUUUAUGGGAGAAUUAAUUACAAUUAUAGAUUUUUCAUUAUUUGUACAGAAAAACCUAACACAUCCAAAUCUUUCUUAAUCACUUUUGAUUUGCAAUAUCAUCAUCUUUUUCGUCUUCUUUUUCUAGUUUCACCUUCAUUGUCUUAUUGCUUCCUCGAUAGGUGCCACUCGAACUUUCUUUUACCUUAUUAGCUUAACUAUUUCUGCUUUAAUAAAAUUCAAAAUAAAAAAAAUUAAAUUCCAAAAAAUAUUAAAAAGUUCUAGAAGUAUAUAAUAAUUUUUUAAAAAUAUAUUCCAUUUCUUCAAACGAAUAAUAAACACUAUAAAAAGAAUAAAACCUAUUCGAGUUGGUGGGAUUUGAAUCCUAUAAAAGCAAACCACAUGCAUAAAUGUUGACACGAUAGCUCGCGGUAUAAACAUGAAAAGAAAAAAAAAUUCUGUAAAAAGAAUAAAAUAAUAAUAAUAAUAAUAAAUUAAAUUUAAAGCUAUGCUCAAAAGAGAGAUUAAUAAAUUUAGAAAAAUAUAUAUUUAUUGAAAAAAUAAAAAUAAAAAAGAAGAAUUAUCAAUAAGAAUAAAAUAAAAUAAAAGGCUAGUAGUAGAUAUCAUAUAAAUUUUUUCAAAUUAAUUGAAAAAUAGACUGAUAUAGUAUUAGGUCUAAUUUAAGUAGUCUUUAUACCCAUUUAGGCAAUAAAAAUAUAUAUGUUAAAUCAUUAAUAUCUUAUUGGUAUUUUUUUAAAUUCCAGUGGUAAAAAUCAAGUCUGAAAUUUCCUUAUUUACUCAUUAAAAAAUAAGAAAAAGUUCAAAUUUUCAUUCUAAAUUUCUUCAAUCAACGAAAGUCCUGAAAUGGAAUUCACUUUUUAAGUAAGGGAUUUUUUAAGAUUUUUCAUUUACUUUAUAUUAUUUAAUUUCAAAUAUUUAUAAAUUUUAGUAUUAAUUACAAAAGAUUUUCACAGACAUUGUAAUGUAGUUGGAAAUUUUGAUGUUUGAACGCUUUUGCCAAAUAGCGAUAUAAAUAUUUACUCCCUCUAUCUCAAAAAAUUUAUCAUGUUUACUCUUACACGAAGUUUAAGAAACAAAAUAAUUACAGUGUAACAUAUUCCUUUAUCUCAAAAUAUAAUUCGUUUAAGGUUUUUGUAUAAGAAUUAAGGAAGUAAUUAAUUCUUCUUGAUUAUAAUAAAAUUAAAAGUAAAUUGAUUAAAUAAUCGUUUAUAUUAAAACUAAUAGGUACUUGUGAAAGUUUUUGUUGUAUCUAAUGUAAACAACGGUAACAUUAGAAAAAUAUUAUUUAUUUACUCAUUGAAAUAUUCAAAAUGACUUAUAUUUUAAAAUAAAAUAAUUAUACAAAAACGACUUAUAUAUUGGGACAGAGGGAACAUAAAAUAUUUGUGCUUCCAAAAUUGUGAUUCUUUUAAACAAAAUGGUUAUUUCUAAAAAUUUGCACCAAAAUCAGUUAUAAAAAAAAAACAUAAAAGGAAAUAUCAAUAUCUCCUCGAUUAAUUGGACAAACAUUUUGAGACAUUUAAAAAUCAAAAUAUGGAUUAAAAUUUUUUGGUACGGAAUGAGCAUUAUAUUUUGUCAUUGUUGAUUAUAAAUUAAAUUAACAGAAAGGGAUGAUACGUUUAGAAAAAAAUUAUUUAUAAAAAUUGAAUUUUUAAGAAAACUGAUCAGAAGUCAUUAAAAAUUGUUUAAAGACUAAUAAUAUUUAACCUAUAAAAUAAUUUAGAUUUUCGUAUUUAUUUUUUUUUCUAAAAUUUUCAAUUGUUAAUAUAAGAAACAAAACCUUAAAAAUAAACAUUUUGAUGAAACAACAACUGUAACUCUUAUCUGUAAGAAGGGAAGCAAUAGAAAGAAAAUCUAGAGAAAAUCAGGUGCAAAUCAAUGAAAGUAAAUGCAUUCCCACUAACAAGGGAUAAGUUUUGGUGAAACGUCAGGUGUAUAUCAGAGGACACACACGCAACAACACGGAGCCCCUUCAAGCCCUCCCUCGCAGCACGUACACUUUCACUUUCACUUUCUUUGUCUUAAAUAAUCUCCUCUUCUCUCUCUCUCUCUCUCUCUCUCUCCAAACGGACAUAACUAUGGUUCAAUUGAAUUAACCUCAUCAAACCUCACCUCUUCUCUCCCUCUCUCCCUCUCUCUCCUUCCUCAUGCUUUCUUAUAUUUUUUUUGGCUAAUCUUGUUACUUUAAUCCCACCGCCCACUCCACACAGUCACCAAUAAUACUACUCUGUUCUGCAUCAUCCCUCAAGUUCCCAUUUCAAAAGAUAAUAUUUUGAUUAGUGGUUAUUUCUCUUAUUUUCCUCUUUCUUUGUCUUUCUCUCUUAAACUUGAAAUAUAAUUAAUUAAGGGGAAGGAAAGAAAAAGAAAAGAAAAUUAAAGGGUCUGUCGGUGUUGUUUGAUUGACCUUGAAUCUAUCUGGGAAAGAGGUAAAUUGUUGUUUGAUUUUUUUUUUUUUUUUAAAGUUCAGUUUGAACUCUUUUUGUUCUUGAAUUUUCUAUUUUUGUUAUAACUUUUUGCUAUUUUCUUCUUCUUUUUCUCUUUUUACGUUUACUGGAUCUCUCCGACUUGGAAUCUUUUGGGUCUGGAUUCUGGUUUCUCGUUUGGGUUUACUGUUAGAUGUGGGUUUUAGGAUUAGACCAAGAAUUUUUGUGUUCUUUUUUAGAUCCAAGCUACUUGACCUGUAUGUUAUUGCAUGAACAAUUUUUUUUCUAGGAAAGUUGAAAACUUUCCCGAGAGGUCCUUACCUUCUGUCAUAAACGGUGAGAUCUGGGUGUUUCACUUGAUUAUAUGUUGGAUGAUAAGAUUCAUUUGAUUUAUGAUCUAGUCUUGGGCUUUAAUAUCAAAAUUGGUUACUUUAAUCUGCUGCCAGUAAAUCUAUUUAUAUCUUUCAAUAGAAAAUAAUUCAAGAUUAAUUUUUUUUAUGAAUUGGGAAUAUAAAAUUUUCUGUUGUGGAAUUGAUGUUUCAUCAAAGUUUUUUAGUGGAAUUAAUUUGUCUCGAUCAAAAUUUGCUGAAAUGAUUGAUAUUUGAGAUUUUGUGCAUAAAUAUUCUGUAGCAAAUAAGAAAAUCUGAAAUGGAACUUCUAUUGAAUUGUUGAAUUAUGAUACACAGGAAAGCAUUUAGAUUUUUGCUGGGUUUUAGUAUGUAUUAACUUUUGCUGUUCUUAGCAGGCUUGAAAAUACCGACAGAGUAAGAUAGAUAGGGUUUAAAGCCAAACUAUGGUUCAAUUGAAUUAACCUCAUCAAACCUCACCUCUUCUCUCCCUCUCUCCCUCUCUCUCCUUCCUCAUGCUUUCUUAUAUUUUUUUUGGCUAAUCUUGUUACUUUAAUCCCACCGCCCACUCCACACAGUCACCAAUAAUACUACUCUGUUCUGCAUCAUCCCUCAAGUUCCCAUUUCAAAAGAUAAUAUUUUGAUUAGUGGUUAUUUCUCUUAUUUUCCUCUUUCUUUGUCUUUCUCUCUUAAACUUGAAAUAUAAUUAAUUAAGGGGAAGGAAAGAAAAAGAAAAGAAAAUUAAAGGGUCUGUCGGUGUUGUUUGAUUGACCUUGAAUCUAUCUGGGAAAGAGGUAAAUUGUUGGUUGAUUUUUUUUUUUUUUUAAAGUUCAGUUUGAACUCUUUUUGUUCUUGAAUUUUCUAUUUUUGUUAUAACUUUUUGCUAUUUUCUUCUUCUUUUUCUCUUUUUACGUUUACUGGAUCUCUCCGACUUGGAAUCUUUUGGGUCUGGAUUCUGGUUUCUCGUUUGGGUUUACUGUUAGAUGUGGGUUUUAGGAUUAGACCAAGAAUUUUUGUGUUCUUUUUUAGAUCCAAGCUACUUGACCUGUAUGUUAUUGCAUGAACAAUUUUUUUUCUAGGAAAGUUGAAAACUUUCCCGAGAGGUCCUUACCUUCUGUCAUAAACGGUGAGAUCUGGGUGUUUCACUUGAUUAUAUGUUGGAUGAUAAGAUUCAUUUGAUUUAUGAUCUAGUCUUGGGCUUUAAUAUCAAAAUUGGUUACUUUAAUCUGCUGCCAGUAAAUCUAUUUAUAUCUUUCAAUAGAAAAUAAUUCAAGAUUAAUUUUUUUUAUGAAUUGGGAAUAUAAAAUUUUCUGUUGUGGAAUUGAUGUUUCAUCAAAGUUUUUUAGUGGAAUUAAUUUGUCUCGAUCAAAAUUUGCUGAAAUGAUUGAUAUUUGAGAUUUUGUGCAUAAAUAUUCUGUAGCAAAUAAGAAAAUCUGAAAUGGAACUUCUAUUGAAUUGUUGAAUUAUGAUACACAGGAAAGCAUUUAGAUUUUUGCUGGGUUUUAGUAUGUAUUAACUUUUGCUGUUCUUAGCAG
rnacentral:lncRNA from 1 species